rnacentral:pre_miRNA from 9 species
AUGGAAUUUUCUCUCUCCCCAUCCUGAAAUAGGGUCAAACUGUGCCCUGAGGAGAAGCAGCAGAGAAUUGGACUACAUCAU